rnacentral:rRNA from 1 species
AGAGUUUGAUCAUGGCUCAGGAUGAACGCUGGCGGCGUGCUUAACACAUGCAAGUCGAACGAACCUUCGGGUUAGUGGCGGACGGGUGAGUAACGCGUGAGAAUCUGCCCUCAGGAGGGGGAUAACGGUUGGAAACGACCGCUAAUACCCCAUAUGCCUAUUGGUGAAAUGAAUUUCGCCUGAGGAUGAGCUCGCGUCUGAUUAGCUAGUUGGUGAGGUAAUGGCUCACCAAGGCUUCGAUCAGUAGCUGGUCUGAGAGGAUGAUCAGCCACACUGGGACUGAGACACGGCCCAGACUCCUACGGGAGGCAGCAGUGGGGAAUUUUCCGCAAUGGGCGAAAGCCUGACGGAGCAACGCCGCGUGAGGGAAGAAGGCCUCUGGGCUGUAAACCUCUUUUCUCAAGGAAGAAGAUAUGACGGUACUUGAGGAAUAAGCCACGGCUAAUUCCGUGCCAGCAGCCGCGGUAAUACGGGAGUGGCAAGCGUUAUCCGGAAUUAUUGGGCGUAAAGCGUCCGCAGGCGGCUUUUCAAGUCUGCUGUUAAAGCGUGGAGCUUAACUCCAUCAUGGCAGUGGAAACUGAAAGGCUUGAGUAUGGUAGGGGCAGAGGGAAUUCCCAGUGUAGCGGUGAAAUGCGUAG